UACAGAGGGUGCGAGCGUUAAUCGGAAUUACUGGGCGUAAAGCGCGCGUAGGCGGCUUUGCAAGUCGGGUGUGAAAUCCCCAGGCUUAACCUGGGAACUGCAUUCGAGACUGCAUUGCUAGAGUAUGGGAGAGGGAAGUGGAAUUUCCGGUGUAGCGGUGAAAUGCGUAGAUAUCGGAAGGAACAUCAGUGGCGAAGGCGGCAUCCUGGACCGAGAUUGACGCUGAGGCGCGAAAGCCAGGGGAGCAAACGGG
rnacentral:rRNA from 1 species